AAGGCCAACAUUGGAAGAUGUUGAAACUAAUUUAGAUGAAGAUUUUAUGGAAAUGGAUUUUAUUUUGGAGACGAUGAAAGUUUUAAGAACUUUGAUUGAAAUCUCUAGGUUAUGACAUGAAUUUGAAUGCUAAAACUUUCAGAUGUUUGAUGAUCUCUUAAGGGUUUAAAUUUUAUAGAUAGGAUUUAUUUUCUUUGCAUAUUAUAUUAU
rnacentral:misc_RNA from 1 species